GUACUUGUGGCCUAGUGGUCAUGGCAUCUGCCCGGUAAGCGGAAGGUCGUGGGUGACCAAAAUCUAUCCGUAAACU